rnacentral:lncRNA from 1 species
CAGCCACCUAGUCUGUGAUAUUUUGUUCUAACAGCCUGAGCAGCCAACAGGACCACGGAUGCAUUAGGCCCCCUCAGAAGCAAGCAGUGCAUGGGGAUCCAUGCUGAGAUGAACAGUCCCCGGUGCAGAGCAGACGGUGUCAAUCUCUGGAACGGAAUGGGAAGAAGAGACUGCCAGCAGGGUGUCUCCAGGCACAGGGAGGCCUCUGGAAGGACAGAGGCCAGAAGUCUGACAUGGGUCUCACUGGGUUGAAACCGAUGUGAGGGCAGAGCUGCGUUCCUUUCUGCGGGGAGGACCUGUUUCCAUCGCAGUUCCAGCUGCCCACGUUCCUUGGCUGGUGGCCUCUGCCUCCAUCUUCAAAGCCCGAAGUAGCAGUCUAGGCUUCUUCACAUUGUGUCAUCUGACUCUGACUCUCUUCCCCCCUCUUUCACUCACAAUCACAGUCCCUUGUAAUUGCACUGGGCUCUCGCAGGUGACUGAGGAUUAUCUCUUAAAGUCAGCUGACUACUAACUCUAAAUCCCCCUCGCCACGUAACAUGACAUAGCCUCUGGGUCCGGGGAUUGAGGCGCAGACAUUACCGGGAGGCCACAAUCCUGCUGAUCACACACCUAGGUUUACAUUUCUGGGCGUUCUCCCUUCCCAGGGAGAACAAGAAGAGAGAACAGUAGGAAAGUUAUUCUGCCCCCUUCCUCAUCCUUCUCUGCCAUCCCCCACCUCACUUCCCCUUCACAAUAAGCCCCAUAGCUCAGCUCACCAGCGUGAAACAGCAUCCACAGACUCCAGAGUACCUAUCUGGACCCACGGAGCACUGUCUCCAGACACCUGUCUGUGUGCCAUGUGCUGUCCAGACCCACGACUGGCCAUAGGAACAGAUGUCUGCUGCCGAUGGCUAAGGAUGUCAGGCUCUUUCCCCUGGGCCUCACAGGGAGGGCCUCACUCUGGGUGAAGAAUCUCAUUUCUCAACCUUUGGGAUUAGGAGGGUCCAAUCAUCCAGAAGUGGUUUUUUUCCUGAGAGACCUAAGCCCACUGAAAUUCCAGGUUGCUACUCCCAGAGGCAGGGCAGACUAGGCACACAUGUCAGAACCUCUCUUUCCCAAUACGGAGCCACGGGCUGUUUGGUGAGCAUAGAACCACAGGAAAAAGAAUUUAGGUUGUCUGGAAGGGAUGUUUCCAUCCAUCAUGGAAGCUCGAUGACUCACAUUUUCCCAGCAUCCAAAUACUCUUGUUAAGCGGCCUGUGAGUUUCCCACUGAGUGUUUUAAAUAAAUGCUUUAUACAUACACCCUCUCCCACCCCCACAGCUCCAGGAUGACCCCAAAUGUGCGAUUUCUUCAUCCUUACCCUGUCAAAACACCCUCAGUACAGCUCCCCAGAAACCACAUCCCCUUAUGCAAGGCACACGCUGCAGCUUCAUCCAUCCACAGGCAUCUGAAGGAGCGACCAGCUUCCAAUGAGGGGUCCGGUGGGAUGAGAGAGCUGGGGGAGGCAAGUCCACCUCGUAACCUUGUCCCUAGUUAAGAACUUCUCUUGUGUGCUUCAAGAUAGAACUACAGAAUGAGAAAGCUGGACGUUGGAAGAGGGACCCCAACAUUUAUCUAGCCCAAUCCCACUAAUUUCCUAACUAGGAAACUGUAAAAACAGUUUUAAAAGUUAAAGGUUGUACAGAAUCAUUACUGUCAUCAUCUUCAUCACCAUCACCAUCGCCAUCACCAUGAUUUCAUAAACCUGGAUUCCACAG